rnacentral:rRNA from 1 species
GACGAACCGAGCGAACGUUGUUCGGAAUCACUGGGCUUAAAGGGCGCGUAGGCGGGUGCUCAAGUCCGUGGUGAAAUCCUCCGGCUCAACCGGAGAACUGCCUCGGAUACUGGGCGUCUCGAGUGUGGUAGGGGUAUGCGGAACUAUCGGUGGAGCGGUGAAAUGCGUUGAUAUCGAUAGGAACUCCGGUGGCGAAGGCGGCAUACUGGACCACCACUGACGCUGAUGCGCGAAAGCCAGGGGGAGCAAACGGG